rnacentral:rRNA from 1 species
CCUACGGGAGGCAGCAGUGGGGAAUUUUGGACAAUGGGCGCAAGCCUGAUCCAGCAAUGCCGCGUGAGUGAAGAAGGCCUUCGGGUUGUAAAGCUCUUUUGUCAGGGAAGAAACGGUGAGAGCUAAUAUCUCUUGCUAAUGACGGUACCUGAAGAAUAAGCACCGGCUAACUACGUGCCAGCAGCCGCGGUAAUACGUAGGGUGCAAGCGUUAAUCGGAAUUACUGGGCGUAAAGCGUGCGCAGGCGGUUUUAGUAAGUUUGUCGUGAAAUCCCCGGGCUCAACCUGGGAAUGGCGAUGAAGACUGCAAGGCUAGAAUCUGGCAGAGGGGGGUUAGAAUUCCACGUGUAGCAGUGAAAUGCGUAGAGAUGUGGAGGAACACCGAUGGCGAAGGCAGCCCCCUGGGUCAAGAUUGACGCUCAUGCACGAAAGCGUGGGGAGCAAACAGGAUUAGAUACCCUGGUAGUCCACGCCCUAAACGAUGUCUACUAGUUGUCGGGUUUUAAUAACUUGGUAACGCAGCUAACGCGUGAAGUAGACCGCCUGGGGAGUACGGUCGCAAGAUUAAAACCGUCAAAGGAAUUGACGG